rnacentral:rRNA from 1 species
UGGGGAAUAUUCCGCAAUGGCCGAAAGUCUGACGGAGCAACGCCGCGUGAGUGAUGAAGGUUUUCGGACUGUAAAGCUCUGUUGUUUAGGACGAAAGUGCCUGUUGCAAAUAGUUACAGGUAUUGACGGUACUGAACGAGGAAGCCACGGCUAACUACGUGCCAGCAGCCGCGGUAAUACGUAGGUGGCAUGCGUUGUCCGGAAUUAUUGGGCGUAAAGAGCAUGCAGGCGGGAAUCUAAGUCUGUUGUGAAAAUGCGGGGCUCAACCCCGUAUUGCGAUGGAAACUGGGUUUCUUGAGUGCAGGAGAGGAAAGGGGAAUUCCCAGUGUAGCGGUGAAAUGCGUAGAUAUUGGGAGGAACACCAGUGGCGAAGGCGCCUUUCUGGACUGUGUCUGACGCUGAGAUGCGAAAGCCAGGGUAGCGAACGG